rnacentral:tRNA from 1 species
GGGGUCGUAGCUCAGUUGGUUAGAGCGCUACGUUGACAUCGUAGAGGUCCCCAGUUCGAGCCUGGGCGACCCCACCA